UCGAUAUCUCUGUAAAAUAAUCAUUUUUUUUAACUAGCGGGGCAGUGAAAUCUUUGCUUUGUGCUAAAGUCAACAGUGACAGAGUUUGAGCUCAAAUAAAUGCCGUGAUGUCUGGAGCCCUUUGCAGAAGGCAGAAGGCGAGCUUCUACAAUGGGCUCCUGUGUGGCUUGCCAACAACAAGCACCAGCUAUUUUGCACAGUGUGCGGCUGGCUGAUAUCAUCGCUGCUGCACUGAUGUCAUGAAAGCGAGUUGUGCUACAGAAGUGAUCCUGCGAAUGCUUUUAUAUUAUACCAGGCUCUGCUGACUGAAGUGAUCCCCACGGCCUGAGUGGAAGAGUGGAGGGAGAGGAAGCCUCAGAGGGAAGAGGGAUAACUGCUGAAGAGCUGACACACACACACACACACACACACACACACACACACACACACACACACACACACACACACACACACACACACACACACACACACACACACACACACACACACACACACACAAUGUCCCUCUCAGUCCUGGGAUGUGACCGGCCCAUGGCAUUGGCCAGAUGCACAUGGCUUUCUUUGAAGGACUCUUUUCCACUGCUACUUUCCAUCUACGUUCAUCACCCUGCAUCAAGCGGCCUGAAAGCACUUCCCUGUCGAUGUGCUUGGCUAUAUCUAUGUCUGACCUGUCUGCCAUAUGUAAUAUCAAAGCCUCUGUCAGCGUGGAGCUGAAUGGGAACAAAAGAGAGGCCUCCAUUAAUGAUUAACUGUUCUAAAAGCCCCGGCUUUUGUAUUCCCAUGGUGCCCAGGCUAUCUGGCCACCAUGUGACAUGCUCACAGCAUUUUUCGAGCAGAUUGGGGGAAAGCUAGUGAGCAAACACAGGUGCUUUGGAGCAGCGUUGCCGACGCUGUCAGGGACAACCACAAACAAGAGCAGCUAUGCCUGGCUAAAUGAAUCCCCACCCCUCCCAACACCAUCACCAUCACCACCUCCAUCCCCCCCAUCCCCGCUCUCUGUCGCUAGCUAACUUGUUUGCGAGCUCCCCAUAGCUUUCUCCCCGCAAAGCCUUCCUUCUGGAGAGUCCCCAUGUCCCCCCCCCCACACACACACAAGUUCAAUGCCCGCUACAGCCACAGCUCCACAACUUCUCACACCCUCCAAAGAAACAAACAAAUAAAAGUGAGGACGGCCGACCACUUCUUUGAGGUGAUGGCAUUUGCUGUGGUCAUGACUAGUGGGAGAGCAAACAAAUUAAUGGUAUUCGGGUUUUCACUUUCCAAACCAAACUAACUGUCUUUUAGUUCAAGUGGGGCAAUUCCACUGACCCUGGUGUCAAACGCUGUAUAAGGGCUGCACACUCUUGCACUUGAAAUGCAGAGAGGAGGCUGUAAGAAAUUAAACAGGGCUUGAGUAUUGGCCAACCUGGUGUGUUGAAACACCUUAAAGUGAGAAAUAAAUCUUGAAUAAAUUGUGUGUGCAAUAAACACUUAUGGUUUAUUGUUUAUGUUUGUGUAUUUUGACUUUAAGAUGUUUAACAAGAGGUGUGUGGAGCACUUAACCUUUUCAUCCAGGCUGACUGAUUGUUCAGAGUGACUGGGGGUGCUGUGUCUCACAACUUUGAUAAGACAAUCAGAUGAUAGGAUGGCGUUAUCUUAACAUGGCUUUCCGGCUGGCGGACAAAUGAACAGUGUGUGAUAACAGGAACAAAAGCUUGGCUCUUAUUGGCUGGCUCCGCCAAAGAAAGGAAAAAUUAUCAGGAUGGAAAAUUCACAAUAGGCGCAGUUUAUUUCAUUUUCCAUUUUCUACUUAGCCCAGGUCACAGGGACAGCUUUUUUUUCUAAUCACUCUGAUAUUUAUAUUGUCUCUUAUUGGCAUUUUUGUUUCACAGUCUGCAAUUACCUGCGCCUAUAAAGCUGUUAUUGUCACUGUAAAGAUGAUAAAACAUUUUUUUUAAACAAACAAUUUUAAUCAAUCAAUCAGGAGAGGAAAUUAAGUUGUAAAAGUGAGAAAGACCAAUGUAGAAAAACAGAGGCUGACAAGGAGUGAGUGAAAAAACAUA